UCCAUUUUGCAAGCUCAACUAAGCAGUAGUUUUCUAGCACAAAUAUUAGGGGCAAUAAAAAAUUUCAUUUGAGGUUGCCAAUUUGAGUUAACAUUUUUCUAUUUUCCAUUGAUGAUUUCUCUCACCACCCCAGUUCUUGCAGAUUUUCUGGAGAUAGCAUCAUUUUAAAAAAUGUCUUUUCGUUUGAUACUGUAUAGUUUAAACUUGCUGUUUACUAAAAGGACAUAGGGGUUGGGAUCCAAGGACAAACUGAACAAUCAAUCUUCUGGUAAGGCAGUGACCAGGGCUGCUCAUAGGGUGGUCAACUCCACUAGUUUAUCCAGUACGGUCUCAGGUUUAGCACUUAGGGUCCCAGGAUUUUGAGAAACCUUUCAGACCUAGGCAAACAGGGACAGUUGGUUACCCUAGCAUAGACACAACAAUAAGCUUUCUACUGAGACUUAGUGUAAAUCGGAUUCAGUUGCCUUUAUUUUGCCUUUCCUCAAAUUUGGGAUUCCAGAGAAGAAGAAUUUCAAAGGAUUAGCUUGAGUCAGGUGUCUACUCCUAACCAAAUCCCCUCCCCUCCCCUACCAUAGCUAUGGAGGGCCCACCAUUGUGAAAUAGAGACCAGUUCCUACAGAAGAUAGGAUCUAGGCAAUGACUCCAUAGACUGUCUACUGCACCUCCAGAAGUAGCUAUGAUUACUUUGGUGCAUUUCUUUCUCAAAUGCACCAGAAAUCAACAAUCCACUAAAAUCAACCACACUUCACUACAUCCCAAUACAGUGAUUGGUUGUGACAGAAAACAACUAAAAUGUCACAGGCAUCCAUUAAGCAAUAUUUCAUGGAACUGAUACAUACAUACAUACAUACAUAAACAUAUAUAUACAGAUAGUUUUAUUGGAGGAACCCUGUAAUGUAAAGUUCCAUUUCAUCCAUUUACAGACAAGGAAGCUAAAAUUUUAAAGGUAGGAAUUGAAUCAAUAUUUUAUGGCUCUAGACAAGUUGUUAAGUCCCUAAUCCCCUUUCUUUCUUUUCCUCCCUUCUUUCUCUCACCUACUCUAAGUCUCUUACUAUAUAUGGUCAUACUGUGAUACAGUCUCAUAGACAUUGUCUUGUAUAUAUUUUUAUUGCCUUGAACCCAAUUGUGUGCUGUUAAUAUUUAAGAUUUUCCAUAUAAAGCUCAGAGAGAAUAAAUGAGGAGGCUAAGUUGCACAUUCGGUAUGGAGAAGUCUUUGAUGCUGCAGAUUAAAUCCAGAUAUUCUAAUUCUAUAUCUUAUUCUCCUAUCAUAUCAUCCAUCAGACUUUUGAAUGCUCCUUAAAUUUGCUGAUUAACACAGAAAGAGGAAAUUUGACCCUGUUUUUACAUUGGCAAUAACGGUGAUAGAGUUUCUUCUCUGGACAAAGCAUCUGGUUGCUAAAAUCCCCAAAUCCCUCAGGACUCAUUUCAACCAAAUUAUCAACAACAAACACUGAACUUCAAGGUCUUUUCCACAAUGCCCACAAAAUGCCAUGGAUCCAUCUAAUCUGCAUCAAGAUACUUCAGGGAACUCUCUGUGACUCAAUCCUGACCCGAAUGGCCCCCUAAUCUAGGCCAGAUGGCAAAUUGACCAUUAACCUCAUUCUGAUGGACUUGUUUUUGCCCAAAAUGAGCUGUUAUAAUUAAUUAUCUGCUAUCUGGCAUUUUAUCAACAAAUACCAUCCAUUAGCUAACAUUUUCACUGCAAGAUCAAUGAUAAUUAAUUAUCACAGUGAUAACCUGUGGCACUAAAAGAUUUUGAAAUCACUUCAAAAUGCAGAGUGAGAGAAAGAGAACAAGAGACAUCCAGAGAGAUCAAAUCAUGCUCAGCACAGUUGUAAUGUGAGGGUAGGAAGCAUGGCUUCUGUAGUGUCCUCAAAACCCCCACCCCACUCAUAGAAAUGCCCCAGAUGACUUCUAAUGGGGCUCUCAUGUAAUAUCUGGAAAAUUACAUAUUUUAGAACUAGCAGAAUCUUUUCAAGCAUGUGUCCAUCUUCACCCUACAGUCAGUGCCCCAUCAGGCAUUGAUCGGGAGAGAGGUGGAGCAAAUACACCUAACCCUGGCAGGGACAACACAGCAGCCACCACCAUGAUAUUUAGUAACCUUCACAUUCAAAGGAAAUGAGAGUUUAAAAAUAAAAUAUAAAAAAGGGGGGCAGGGGAUGAAGCACCCCUGGGUUCCAUUUCCAGUACCAAAAUAAACAGGAUGAAAUAAUAAUAGGAAAUGACCUCCCUUUCCUUGAUUCUAUAACUUUUUAGAAAGAUAAAAAUAUUUUCUGAAAUAUGUCCUGGCAAUAUUUUAAUUUAAAAAGAAAUGAAAACAAAAUAAAACAAACCCAACAUAAAACUCUUCUUCCAGAUUUUCAUUUUUAUUGCUUAAAAAUUGUUAAUUUCAGUAACAAGGUUAGUGUUCCAUCUGGUACAUGGUAGAAAUUCAAGGCAUUUUUUUCUAUGUGUUUGUUUGAGAAGACAAAGUGAGAAAAGAUCGUUACAUACAGCCAAUUUUUUUUUUUUUUUAAGUGCCUGGAUGAGUGCCUUUCCAAUUUGAAAACUUUCUCUUUUUCUGGAUUUGGGUCUGCUGUUGGAACUCUGCACAGCCUGCCUCAUUGCUGACAGACCCUGUGCUACAAUGUGCACAGCUGGCCCUUGGGACCACAGCAAUGGAACCAUUUAUGAAACUCUCUCCCAAUUUGGUGCAUCAAAUGGGUAUACUGAUUUGGACAAGUUACAUUCUUAAAGCUGAUGAGAUGGCUGUUAACAAAGCAAAUUCAGUGCGAGCAGUGAGCCUUGGGGUGUUGGCAGUAGAUGCUAAGAGAUACUACUACAUGCCAAGCUGGUAUCCAUAGGAACAGCUCAUGCCCCAGAAGAUUGUGAUAGGUACUACCAGGGUUAACUAGGCACUCUUUGAAAAGCUCACUGGACAAAAUGUAAUCAUGUGCUUGAUUUCUUUCAAGCCAGCUUCUAAGGAGUCAAGAAGAUACAUUCCCAGUGUAGAGUCCAAAUAAAAGAAAAGGAAAGCCAAAAACUAUGAUGGAGGGAAAUGAACAGACUGGUCAAAAGCAAAUGUACAAGGAAAGAAAAUAAACAGAAAGGAAGAAGGGACACAUGUUAGACAAUGACCUGAGCUCAGGAUCUUCCCCAGUGAUACAAAAGCAUUUGGGGAGUUUCCACUGCAAGGGGCUUCAACACCAGCUUGGAGCAACCCCCUCUGUCUCUAGUGCAAAGCAGGCAUCAAAGACAGCUCCCCACACAAGAGGAAACUGAGUUGCCUCCAUUUUGAUCACCAGCACCAUGCAGUAGACCUGAGACAUAAUUAUCUAUAAACAGAUUGGCUCAGGGUGUGGAAGUGGUUUUUCAGACCUAAUCUCUGAGGACUAAAGGCCUAGUAGUAGCUACAAGCUUUGUAGAAUUUGGGGUCUCCAAAGGCUAAGAGGAAAUGCUGGAUGAGCAACUCUCAUUGUCAACUUUAAUGAGAACUUGGGAACCAAUUUUUGUAUCGUUUGUUUUUAAACUGUAAUGAUAGCCAAAUUUGGAUGUUGUAAGACUCAUUUGCUGAUAAAUCUAACCAGAUGAACUCAACUAACUGUAAGAAUAAGUUCUGCUUUACUUUUUUGUUGGUGUGAUUCUAAAUAAAGCAAAAUGGGGGUUUUGUACCUUCGAAAUGUGCAUGUGUGCACAAGUCAGUGUGCCACAUGUCAUUCAACAUGUUAACUCUGUACAUAGUCACAAUUCUCCAAAUGUUUUUGUUCUUCAAACCUGUCUUCUAAAACACAUACAAACAAGAAAAUACUCUUAAAUAAAAUCAACAUUAUUUUA